CCUACGGGAGGCUGCAGUAGGGAAUCUUCCACAAUGGGCGAAAGCCUGAUGGAGCAACGCCGCGUGGGUGAAGAAGGUCUUCGGAUCGUAAAACCCUGUUGUUAGAGAAGAAAGUGCGUGAGAGUAACUGUUCACGUUUCGACGGUAUCUAACCAGAAAGCCACGGCUAACUACGUGCCAGCAGCCGCGGUAAUACGUAGGUGGCAAGCGUUAUCCGGAUUUAUUGGGCGUAAAGGGAACGCAGGCGGUCUUUUAAGUCUGAUGUGAAAGCUGUCGGGUUAACCGGAGUAGUGCAUUGGAAACUGGGAGACUUGAGUGCAGAAGAGGAGAGUGGAACUCCAUGUGUAGCGGUGAAAUGCGUAGAUAUAUGGAAGAACACCAGUGGCGAAAGCGGCUCUCUGGUCUGUAACUGACGCUGAGGUUCGAAAGCGUGGGUAGCAAACAGGAUUAGAUACCCGUGUAGUC
rnacentral:rRNA from 1 species